GGGCUCCGCACAGCACCGCUCUGUCCCGUCCGUCCCGUCGCACGCUCCGAGGAGCACUGAGGCGUGGCCACCUCACCACCACUACUAUGUCCUCACAUGUCACAAAGGGCCCUGUGACACCCUGCCCCGUGCCAUCCCACCGUGUCACAAAGGGCCCUGUGACACCCUGCCCCGUGCCCUGGGGACUCCCCCAGCCCGGCCAACCUGCCCCAGGUCGGAAGGAGUCCCUUCUCCAAAGCAUCCAAGACAGCUGGACACGAACUUUAGGCACAGCUGAAAAACUAAGCAAACCCUCCCCUGCUGUGCCUGCCCACGGCAGCAGAAGGAGCCCCCUCGGCUGCCGACGCAGCCGCAGCGGGAAGGCCACGGGGCCUCCACACGAGCUGGCACGGGCUCCUUGGGAGAAGUGCCGGCUGGUGGCCCUCCCGAACACGGGGCUGUGACACACAGAAGGAACGUGGGGGCGAGGGCACCAAUGCUGCUACCACCCCAUUGCCCGGGGCUGCACCAAAAUCAGCAGCUCUGGCAAGUCCUCGCCCAAGGAGACCUGCCACCGCCCCCAGUCCUGGGGGCUGUUGGGAGCAGCAGCUGGAGCAAUUGGUAGCCCUGCUCAGCAGCUGUCAGAAGGCAGAAGUUGUUGCUCCUUCCAGGAAUGAUUUUUCCAUGGAAGUGAUGACCUGCAGCACAAUAACAUCUUUGCUGAGAAAGCACA